rnacentral:rRNA from 1 species
GCUCAGAGUGAACGCUGGCGGUAGGCCUAACACAUGCAAGUCGAACGGCAGCACAGUAAGAGCUUGCUCUUAUGGGUGGCGAGUGGCGGACGGGUGAGGAAUACAUCGGAAUCUACCUUUUCGUGGGGGAUAACGUAGGGAAACUUACGCUAAUACCGCAUACGACCUUCGGGUGAAAGCAGGGGACCUUCGGGCCUUGCGCGGAUAGAUGAGCCGAUGUCGGAUUAGCUAGUUGGCGGGGUAAAGGCCCACCAAGGCGACGAUCCGUAGCUGGUCUGAGAGGAUGAUCAGCCACACUGGAACUGAGACACGGUCCAGACUCCUACGGGAGGCAGCAGUGGGGAAUAUUGGACAAUGGGCGCAAGCCUGAUCCAGCCAUACCGCGUGGGUGAAGAAGGCCUUCGGGUUGUAAAGCCCUUUUGUUGGGAAAGAAAAGCAAUCGGCUAAUACCCGGUUGUUCUGACGGUACCCAAAGAAUAAGCACCGGCUAACUUCGUGCCAGCAGCCGCGGUAAUACGAAGGGUGCAAGCGUUACUCGGAAUUACUGGGCGUAAAGCGUGCGUAGGUGGUUGUUUAAGUCUGUUGUGAAAGCCCUGGGCUCAACCUGGGAAUUGCAGUGGAUACUGGGCGACUAGAGUGUGGUAGAGGGUAGUGGAAUUCCCGGUGUAGCAGUGAAAUGCGUAGAGAUCGGGAGGAACAUCCAUGGCGAAGGCAGCUACC